UUUCUUUUCUUCCACAUGGAUACUUAUCAUCAAAUGCUGAUUAUUUUUUGGGCUGGGGCCGCAGAUCGAGAAUUCUAACACCCAUCAAUUUCAGUCUUCGGGAAAUGACUUCUAAUAUAUUGAUCUUUGUAAUAUGACUACUAAUUUAAUUAGGGAUUAUAGCCUGGAAUGUAGUGAAUUAUGACCACUUAUAUUAUAUGUAAUGAUCUUCUUUAUCUAUUUAUUUUAUAUAUGAUUGUUAUAUGAUUGAGUAGAUGCCAGAAGUUGGAAUUGCCCAUACUCAUUUUUGUCCCUUUACCGUUGGAAUGCUGGAAGUAGGAAUUAAGCUGUUAUGUUUUAGCAUAGAGUAUAGUGCGUAUGAAAUUGACGCUAAUUGCAUGAUAGUAUUUAAAUCUCACUAUUACGUUGAAUAGAUAUUGAAUAUGUAGGUUUUUGGUAUCCUCAUUGUGUAGAUUGCAUAAGAUGUUUUGCUUGAUAGGAUGGAUGCUGUUUCAUUCAUUUGUCAAAUAUGUUUUUAUCCUAGAUUAUCAGUGAAUGGUGUUGUUGAAGUUGAUGGAGAUAAGGAUGAAGAUGCAAUGGAUCAGAAAAAGGGUGUGCCUAGUGUUCGGUUGACUGCGAUGAAAAUUGAAAACCAACAAAAUUUUGGCAGAACUGAUUACAGAACGAAAUUCUAUUGAUGAUUUUAGGGGUUCUCAAGAUUGAGGACAAAUAUUAAAUGGUUACCCGGAAAAUGUUUGACAGGAUGAUCCUCAAAUUAAGCCUUAGAGGCUGAAAAACUUCAAACCCUGUUCAAACAGGAUUUUUAUAUUUGUUGAAGUGUUCAUACGUGAAAACAUUAUCCCCCAUGUUAUAUUUGGUUCAUGUUGAAGGUAUUAAUGAUAAGGAUGAUGAUCAUAUUGAAGACGAUGAAGAUGACGAGGAUGAGGAUGGGGAUAAGGAAGAUGGUGAAGGAGAAGCAGAGAGCAAGCCUAAAAGAAGAUCUUAUUUUACAAGUUGUCACUGUGAACUGCUAAAGGGUGGCAACGCAGUGUUGUUGACCUGGGAGAACGACUACCCAGGUGCCAGAAAAAGUAGCUUUCAAUUUGGUUCAUAUUGUACGGGCCUAUUGUGAUGGGAAUUGAUUUUUGUGUCUAGUCAUCUUAGGUUACAUAUUAGAAUAUCUCAAAGGCACAACUGAAAAGUAUAUGUUUUAGGACUGCCCUUUAUUUUUGUCGAUAUCACUUGCCAUCAUUAGACUGUAAACAGUGGCAGUUUUUGGUGCCGUUACUAGUGUGGCUUUAGAUACUGCUAAGAUGAGCUUUUCCAUAUUGGAUCUAUGUCCUGACCAUGUUACAACUCUAAAUUUACCAAAAUCAAGUUCAAUUUAACUUGAAAUCCA